rnacentral:misc_RNA from 1 species
GAAUUGAGUGUUGUUAUUGAUGGUUGUGGUUGUGGGGUUGGGGUAGAGCGAGGCAGAGAGGUCUGGGAAGGAGAAGGAGAAGCAACUCUAGUAGAACUAUUGAUGACAAUUCUCAGAGGGUUCGAUGGGUUCAAUCUUCGCAACAUUGACACAUGAAAAUUUCUCUGAUCUUCAUCAUUAAAAUUAUCGCUCUCCAUCACCUUUUCUUUAACACCCACCUCUCCUUUCUCCACAUCUCUCUCUCCCUCCAUCCCUUCUUUCCUCUCAUUUCCUUCUUCUUCUCCUUCUUCCUCUUCAUCUUUUUUCUUCUCUUCCUCUCCCCUUUCACUCUCUUUCUCCAGCACGUUUGCUUCUAUUACAGGUUCUGCAGCACCCAUUCCGUCGUCGGUGGUGGUUGUGACGGUGGCACCGGCGGCUGUGAUGGUGGUGAUGUAUGAAAACCGUUACUGGAUUUUGUAUGGUUUAUUUCGUGUCCUGUUAGGUGGUGUUAUUCAUAUCACUGGU